rnacentral:rRNA from 1 species
AUUGAACGCUGGCGGCAGGCUUAACACAUGCAAGUAGAGCGGUAACAGAGAGAAGCUUGCUUCUCUGCUGACGAGCGGCGGACGGGUGAGUAAUGCCUAGGAAUCUGCCUAGUAGUGGGGGAUAACUUGCCGAAAGGUAAGCUAAUACCGCAUACGUCCUACGGGAGAAAGGAGGGGACCUUCGGGCCUUUCGCUAUUAGAUGAGCCUAGGUCGGAUUAGUUAGUUGGUGAGGUAAUGGCUCACCAAGACCGCGAUCCGUAACUGGUCUGGGAGGAUGAUAAGUCAGACUGGAACUGAGACACGGUCCAGAGUCCUACGGGAGGCAGCAGUGGGGAAUGUUGGACAAUGGGGGGAACCCUGAUCCAGCCAUGCCGCGUGUGUGAAGAAGGUCUUAGGAUUGUAAAGCACUUUAAGUUGGGAGGAAGAGCAGUUAACUAAUAUUUGACUGUUUUGACGUUACCGACAGAAUAAGCACCGGCUAACUUCGUGCCAGCAGCCGCAGUAA